GAUUUUUUCCAAGAUAAAUUUCAACCAUUUUGGAAGUUCUCGAGUAUUAACCAUAAAAUGGUUGAAUAAUUUGACGUCUUUUCAUCGCCAUUUUGAAAGCGUCCAAUGGUGCAGCCGAACGCAUUUUAGAAAUCUAUUUUUCCCGGACUCAAUUAAGUUAUCAAGUUUAUUUUAUUGCAUCCGUAGGAGAUCAUGAAAAGACACCGAAUGGACAUCGCUUCAGGUCCAAUUAAAAAACUGAUAGCAUCGAAACAACCAGAUUGCGAGGGCUCACUAAAGUUACCUGGCCACAGCAGCAGCAGACGGAAGAAAAAAAAUCAUAUUUCUCGUUCUUUGUGAAAGAUUUUAAGUACCUCACGAAAUCGAGGACUGGAGGAUACUUCCGAUGAUAACUAUUCCCAUUAUUUUUGCAAAUAACACGUCAGUAGCGCCAGAUAAUUUCAACCUAAAAAAACUAAUGAUUGUCUUCUGGAAUGACACAAUCAAAACGCUCCAACUAGGCCGCCUCCGUUAGGGCAAUCCAACAGCACACAUCCUUCGAUCAUUUCUCCAACAGCAGCAGGUGGAAGAAAAGUUUUUGUUAUACGAACUUUUUUUACUAUCCGGAAGGAGCUUAAAUGGGCCAUCACUUUAGCAAAAACCAUCACCUGCCGGAACCUCCUUGAAUAACAGCAGAUUGGAAUAGCCUAUCCGCUAGAGCUACACGGCUUUACAGAAUGUCACCAAGGUACACGAGAUCACCACUUCCGCCACGGGGGAACUUCUGUUACCACGGGUGUUAAGGCUAUUUGUUGCUGUUCCCAGCCUGAAAUUUUCUGUUCCUGCAUAAAAAUUCAGAUUAUUUUUUAUUUACUUCGAUAAAAAUAUCUUGUUAUUGAAAUGGCAUUUAUUACUCACAAGAAAUAA